AAAGGAGCUGAACUCCUCUUUGUUUCUCAAGCAAUUCAAGCAUCCAAGCAGUAGUACAUGAGAUAGCUUCUCAAAUGCAAGGCUGUGUGUGGCAUGUGUGUGCAGCCUCUCUCUGAUCCUCUUUGUUCGGGGUGAAAUGAAAACUUGUAGAGGUGAUUUGGUGAUCACCGAAUCUCUUGUAUUCGGUGCACACCAAAUCACUUCCACAUGCUUUCGUUUUGUCUUGUUCGUCCGGUAUGGACCGUAUGGUAUGCCUCGUCAUGAGGCGUAUCUACACACGGCUAUCAAGGAUGGCCACGUGUGGCGAUUUGGUUCACGGCCUACCACACAUUGAGCACGCGGACGAGCGAGCUCUAUGAGUCGUGGCUCGUCGGGAAGCANNN
rnacentral:lncRNA from 1 species